rnacentral:lncRNA from 1 species
AUGUGAUGGUGGGGCUAUGGUUACUUGUUGUAUAAGUUGGAUUGUUGCGGCUAGAAGUUACACCUACUGUACGAGUAGGUUAAAUUGUUCGAAGACCAUCCCCAAUAGGUGUUGGGAUGGUGGAGGUAGCACUUUGAGUUAUUGAAAUGGUACUUCGACUGCCAGAUGGGAUACUUCGGCUAGUGAGAGUUGCAUUUCGGCCAACCUUGAUAUUGAUGUGUUAGUACAAUGCGAAGCUUGAAAUCCUCCUCCACAUGGCCUCA